rnacentral:rRNA from 1 species
AGUGAACGCUGGCGGCAGGCCUAACACAUGCAAGUCGAGCGGCAGCGGGCUGUAGCAAUACAGUGCCGGCGAGCGGCGGACGGGUGAGGAAUACAUCGGAAUCUACCUUGUCGUGGGGGAUAACGUAGGGAAACUUACGCUAAUACCGCAUACGAACUACGGUUGAAAGCGGAGGACCGCAAGGCUUCGCGCGAUUGGAUGAGCCGAUGUCGGAUUAGCUAGUUGGCGGGGUAAUGGCCCACCAAGGCGACGAUCCGUAGCUGGUCUGAGAGGAUGAUCAGCCACACUGGAACUGAGACACGGUCCAGACUCCUACGGGAGGCAGCAGUGGGGAAUAUUGGACAAUGGGCGCAAGCCUGAUCCAGCCAUGCCGCGUGUGUGAAGAAGGCCUC